rnacentral:lncRNA from 1 species
AAGAAACUUUAGAAAUUUAUAACUCUUCAUCUAAUUAUUUAAUUUAUUUCAAAUUUAAAAGAUAGGUAGAAUUCACCCUUAAAUUUUACAAAAAAAAAAAAUCAAUUGCAAAUUCUCUCCCGAUCUUUUGGCAUCUAAGAAACCCUAGCAGACAUUCUAAAUCCUAAUUUAUAAGCACUUGAGCACUAUUUUCUUAAUAUCUCAAGAAUCCAAUACUCAAAUUUCAUCAAAAUUAUAUAAAAAAAUUACUUACAUGAAAUUACAUAUUUCCUGAAAUUUUGAGCUAAAACUUUGCCAAAUUGCUCAAGAUAUAGCUCAAGUUACAACCACUAGUAAAUCGGGUCACUUACUACCCUUAGAUUACAUGCGCUGACUUCAAAAUCCAAUAACUCCUUCUUUUCAACUUGGACUCUAGUAAGCAAUAUAUAAAAAGUGUAGCUGCAAAAGUGCUCUCUUCAGUUGCAAUCACCGAUCCUCAAUU